rnacentral:ncRNA from 1 species
GAACGCCGUAUGCUAGGAAACUAGCACGUACGGUGUGAGGUGGGGGAAAAGGUGGAGAUUACAUCAAAGCCUUACCUAUCAUCAU